rfam:Streptomyces caelestis strain NRRL B-24567 P188contig4.3, whole genome shotgun sequence.
GCGUCCUGCCCCGCGAUCGUCUUCUCACCGUUCACCCGGCAGGCGGAAAGAGGGAAGCCCCCGCGAGGACAGGACUCGCGGGGGCUUCCG